AAUCUUUGUUUCGCGUUGACAAGAUUGAAAUUAAAAGGAUUUUGAAAGAUAGUGCUUUUGUGUGUCAUUUGCAAAAGUGACGCUAAUUGCUUGGAACUGCUGGAAUGUCUUCGGUCAUUUAUCACCAAGGGUCGCUGGAAACUAAGGAAGCUCACAAUAACAACCACUUUUCAACCGCCCAGCAUAACAUCAAUACAAUGAGCAGGUUGUAAAGUAUACCCAGGACUAAGCGUCCCAAGCCAGAAGAGACUAUCCUCCCUGGAAAGUGUCUAUAAAACUUCACCAGUUGUCAUCUUCAAUUCACGCAACUAACGCGUAUUGCAGCACAAGUUUCAAUGCAGUGGGACGUUCGGGACAAUUCAAACGGACAUACAUAAUGCGUGGAGAACAGUUAUACUGGCUGUGGAAGGAAACUACCGAAGUUUCUGCCAUCUUGCCCUAGAGUGCAGUCAUACCGGAAGGAUAAAUCGUCCUUAGGGAACAGCAAGGAUUUGAUUUGCUUACGAUGAGACUCUGUGCAGUUUGAACGAUCUUGGAAGACAUGUCCUGCGAAAAGGCAUCACGACGGUUGAGGUUCUUGCUCAACAAGACCAAGAAGCUGGGUUUGAGCACGGACGAAGUAGUCGAGCUACCAGCUGUUAAAAGACUCCUCUCUGCUCGAGUCACAUCUUCCUCCACCGCUUGGACGAUUUUAGCCAUGAUCGCUUUGAUCCUUGGUGGCGGUGUUGUGCUCGUUUUCUUUUGUGCACCCUGUGUCGCCAAGAGCAGGACGUGAGGAUCAUUUUAUGGAAGCCCAUCAGAUCGAAAUCGAUCCCUUUGGCUCUCUAAUAAACCUGGAAAGUAUCUUAAGAUUCAAUAUAUAUUAUUUAAAUAAGAAAUCGAUUGUAAUUAAUGCGUAAAAUAAGAAUUUACAGUGGUAAUGUAAAAAAAUUCCAUAAAAUCAGUAUGAAGGUAGGUCUUUCAUACUUUACUAUAGUUACUUGGACGAAUAAACAAGAAUAAUUUAAUGUUAUCAAGAAAUUGUAUUUUCUGAUGUAACAAAGAAUAAAAUUGAUGGAUUUCCUUAGUUGCAAAAUGAUAUGUCACAAUAUAAAACUAGUAGAUAUUGUCUAGUUUCCCAGAAUGUGGAAUACAAUGAAGAAAGUAAUUGAAUUAAUUUAUUCGCGAGAAUACAUGAGCUCCUCAUUUGCUAAAUCGAUUAAUUUUACAAAACAAAAGAAAGAGAAAUUGAUAAAAUAGAAAGAAUUAAGCAUCAAGCAAAUGCUUUGACACUAAAAAUUUUAAAAAUUCAGCAAGUAGAGUAAAUCAAUUUGAUCUAUAAACAGUUCAUAUGGAAUUUGAUUGUUACACGAUUAGAAUAUUGCUCAAUUGUAUGGGAUGAUCUUUAAACACUGUGUGGAAACCAUG